GUGUGUUAUAUGUGUCACACGGGACGUGCCGGUCCUUAAGCCGGAGGAAGGUGGGGAGUGAUGUCAAGUCAGCAUGGCCUUUAUAUCCUGGGCUACACACACGCUACAAUGGCCAACACAAUAGGUUGCUAAGCCGCGAGGUGGCGCCAAUCCAUAAAGUUGGUCUCAGUUCAGAUUGCAGUCUGCAACUCGACUGCAUGAAGCCGGAGUUGCUAGUAACCGCAGGUCAGCAAUACUGCGGUGAAUACGUUCCCGGGUCUU
rnacentral:rRNA from 1 species